rnacentral:rRNA from 1 species
CCGGCGCACGGGUGAGUAACGCGUAUGCAACUUACCUAUCAGAGGGGGAUAACCCGGCGAAAGUCGGACUAAUACCGCAUAAAGCAGGGAUCCCGCAUGGGAAUAUUUGCUAAAGAUUCAUCGCUGAUAGAUAGGCAUGCGUUCCAUUAGGCAGUUGGCGGGGUAACGGCCCACCAAACCGACGAUGGAUAGGGGUUCUGAGAGGAAGGUCCCCCACAUUGGAACUGAGACACGGUCCAA